AUUGAACGCUGGCGGCAUGCCUUACACAUGCAAGUCGAACGGCAGCGGACCUUCGGGUGCCGGCGAGUGGCGAACGGGUGAGUAAUGCAUCGGAACGUACCUUUCAGUGGGGGAUAACGUAGCGAAAGUUACGCUAAUACCGCAUAUUCUGUGAGCAGGAAAGCAGGGGAUCGCAAGACCUUGCGCUGAUUGAGCGGCCGAUGUCAAAUUAGCUAGUUGGUGAGGUAAAGGCUCACCAAGGCGACGAUCUGUAGCGGGUCUGAGAGGAUGAUCCGCCACACUUGAACUGAGACACGGUCCAGACUCCUACGGGAGGCAGCAGUGGGGAAUUUUGGACAAUGGGGGCAACCCUGAUCCAGCCAUGCCGCGUGAGUGAAGAAGGCCUUCGGGUUGUAAAGCUCUUUCGGCCGGGAAGAAAUCGCACGGGCUAAUACCCUGUGUGGAUGACGGUACCGGAAUAAGAAGCACCGGCUAACUACGUGCCAGCCGCCGCAGUAAUAC
rnacentral:rRNA from 1 species